UACGGGGGGAGCAAACGUUGUUCGGAAUCACUGGGCGUAAAGGGCGUGUAGGCGGCUGAAUAAGUGGGGUGUUAAAUCUCCCGGCUCAACCGGGAAACUGCACUUCAUACUGUUCAGCUUGGGUACAGCAGAGGAGACUGGAAUUCCUGGUGUAGCGGUGAAAUGCGUAGAUAUCAGGAGGAACACCUGUGGUGUAGACAGCUUACUGGACCACUUCUGACGCUGAGACACGAAAGCGUGGGUAGCAAACAGG
rnacentral:rRNA from 1 species